UUUGUACUCCCUCCGUUCCGAAUUACUUGUCGCAGGUAUGGAUGUAUCUAGAUGUAUUUCAAUUCUAGAUACAUCCAUUUCUGCGAUGAGUAAUUUGGAACGGAGGGAGUAGUUA
rnacentral:pre_miRNA from 1 species